GCUCCCAUGGACAAGAGGUUAAGUCCCCGCCCUCUCAAGGCGGUGUCGUGGGUUCGAUCCCCACUGGGAGUA
rnacentral:tRNA from 1 species